rnacentral:rRNA from 1 species
GUAGUCAUAUGCUUGUCUCAAAGAUUAAGCCAUGCAUGUCUAAGUAUAAGCAAUUUAUACAGUGAAACUGCGAAUGGCUCAUUAAAUCAGUUAUCGUUUAUUUGAUAGUACCUUUACUACUUGGUAUAACCGUGGUAAUUCUAGAGCUAAUACAUGCUAAAAAUCCCGACUGUUUGGAAGGGAUGUAUUUAUUAGAUAAAAAAUCAAUGCCUUCGGGCUCUUUGAUGAUUCAUAAUAACUUUUCGAAUCGCAUGGCCUUGUGCUGGCGAUGGUUCAUUCAAAUUUCUGCCCUAUCAACUUUCGAUGGUAGGAUAGUGGCCUACCAUGGUCUCAACGGGUAACGGGGAAU